rnacentral:rRNA from 1 species
GAUGAACGCUAGCGACAGGCCUAACACAUGCAAGUCGAGGGGCAGCGAGGAUGUAGCAAUACAUUUGUCGGCGACCGGCGCACGGGUGAGUAACGCGUAUGCAACCUGCCCGACACAGGGGAAUAACCCGAAGAAAUUCGGACUAAUACCGCAUAAUACAUUUUUCCCGCAUGGGAAGGAUGUUAAAGAUUUAUCGGUGUCGGAUGGGCAUGCGUCCCAUUAGUUAGUUGGUGAGGUAACGGCUCACCAAGACGGCGAUGGAUAGGGGUUCUGAGAGGAAGGUCCCCCACACUGGUACUGAGACACGGACCAG